GUGGGGAAUAUUGGACAAUGGGCGAAAGCCUGAUCCAGCCAUGCCGCGUGUGUGAAGAAGGUCUUCGGAUUGUAAAGCACUUUAAGUUGGGAGGAGGGGCAGUAAGUUAAUACCUUGCUGUUUUGACGUUACCGACAGAAUAAGCACCGGCUAACUUCGUGCCAGCAGCCGCGGUAAUACGAAGGGUGCAAGCGUUAAUCGGAAUUACUGGGCGUAAAGCGCGCGUAGGUGGUUUUGUAAGUUGGAGGUGAAAUCCCCGGGCUCAACCUGGGAACUGCCUCCAAAACUGCAUGACUAGAGUACGGUAGAGGGUAGUGGAAUUUCCUGUGUAGCGGUGAAAUGCGUAGAUAUAGGAAGGAACACCAGUGGCGAAGGCGACUACCUGGACUGAUACUGACACUGAGGUGCGAAAGCGUGGGGAGCAAACAGGAUUAGAAACCCUAGUAGUCC
rnacentral:rRNA from 1 species